rnacentral:rRNA from 1 species
UACAGAGGUCCCGAGCGUUACUCGGAAUUACUGGGCGUAAAGCGUGCGUAGGCGGCCGGUUGCGUCUGCUGUGAAAUCCCGGGGCUUAACCCCGGGCGUGCAGUGGAUACGGGCCGGCUGGAGGCAGGCAGGGGAGAAUGGAAUUCCCGGUGUAGCGGUGAAAUGCGCAGAUAUCGGGAGGAACACCGGUGGCGAAGGCGGUUCUCUGGGCCUGUACUGACGCUGAGGAGCGAAAGCGUGGGGAGCGAACAGG